GACGAACGCUGGCGGCGUGCCUAAUACAUGCAAGUAGAACGCACAGUUUAUACCGUAGCUUGCUACACCAUAGACUGUGAGUUGCGAACGGGUGAGUAACGCGUAGGUAACCUGCCUGGUAGCGGGGGAUAACUAUUGGAAACGAUAGCUAAUACCGCAUAAUAUUAAUUAUUGCAUGAUAAUUGAUUGAAAGAUGCAACUGCAUCACUACCAGAUGGACCUGCGUUGUAUUAGCUAGUAGGUGAGGUAACGGCUCACCUAGGCGACGAUACAUAGCCGACCUGAGAGGGUGAUCGGCCCAACUGGGACUGAGACACGGCCCAGACUCCUACGGGAGGCAGCAGUAGGGAAUCUUCGGCAAUGGACGAAAGUCUGACCGAGCAACGCCGCGUGAGUGAAGAAGGUUUUCGGAUCGUAAAGCUCUGUUGUAAGAGAAGAACGGGUGUGAGAGUGGAAAGUUCACACUGUGACGGUAUCUUACCAGAAAGGGACGGCUAACUACGUG
rnacentral:rRNA from 1 species